UACAGAGGAGCCAAGCGUUGUCCGGAUUGACUGGGCGUAAAGCGCACGCAGGCGGUCGCGCGCGUGGGGUGUGAAAUCUGGCCGCUUAACGGCCAGGCGCCAUCCCAUACGGCACGACUGGAGGGCUGCAGAGGUCGAUGGAAUUGCCGGUGUAGUGGUGAAAUGCGUAGAGAUCCGGAGGAACACCAGAGGCGAAGGCGGCCUACUGGGCUGCACCUGACGCUGAGCCGCGAAAGCCAGGGGAGCGAACGGG
rnacentral:rRNA from 1 species